UAUUUGAGUCCCAAAUAGCUAAAUCUAACUCUAACACAUGGAUCCAAACAAGGCCAUUGUAUCCAGUGACGGACCCAGGAAUUGAAAUCAAGGUAGUUCUAAUUUUUUCAUACGCAACACCAUAAAAUUCAAAGAAAAAAUUCGAUAACAUAGCUAUAAAAUAAGUAAAUUGUGACAAAUACAAUUAAAUAUUCAAAGCUUACAUAAAUAGGUCUAAAACUUACACAAAUAGAUUACAUACGCUUUCUCAUUGCCAUGAAAGCAUGAAUUAUGUCAUCAUCACUCACAAAAGAGAAUAUAUCACGCUCAAUAAAGGUAACCAAACAAUCAUUCAGUAACCUAUCAACUUCCUAAAAACAUAUCAACAAAUUCAUUUAAUUCUUAGCUCACAGUCUCACAAUCACAGAUCUGGGAGAAAAUUAAAUCCCUAAAGGUAACCAAACAAUCAUUCAAUAGCCUAUCAACUUUCUAAAAACAUAUCAACAAAUUGAUUUGAGGCCUUUGCUGUGGUACUUCCAGAUGAUUGUGGACCGUUCAUUUAUUUCGAUCAGACGGUCACGACCAUCUAUUACCUCAUAGGAGGUAAUAUAUGAAAUAUAUAUUUAUUUAAUUUUUAUUUUAUAAAAUAGGGUAAAUAAGUAAAGUUUUAAAUAAAAAAAUCUUCUUUUUAGAUUUGAUUGAUGCAUGCAUGAUUUUGAUUGAUAUGGUAAAUCUUUUUGAUUUAUAACUUUGUGUUUUAUAUAUUUUUAUUACUACAUUUUCUGCAUUACUUUAUAAAUUUGAUUUUGCAUGUGAUAGUACGUGAUUACCAUGUGUGGCCGGCUAGCUGGUUGGUGUGUGUGUGUGUGAGCGUGUGUGAUUGGUACGUGUGUUGGCGGCGUAGGUGUUGGCGGUUGUUGUCUGUUGGGUUGGACGUCGAUGGAAACCUGAGCCAUGGUCCCUUGAACGCGGUUUGCUCAGUGACAUUGCCAAGCAUCUUCUUCCCCGAUUGAAGGAGAUAUGAUUCUGAGAUUUCAGGGAGAAAUCAGAUCGAGAUGAACUCAGGAAGAAUAGAUUGGUCGGGCGCCGCGCGAGGAAGGGAGCGAGGAUUUUCGGAUGCUGCAUGGAAGAGAGCGACUAGCAUGGUCGGGCGCCGCGGGAGGAAGGUCCGGAUCUUGCAUGAUUUGAGGGAAUUGGGACACGAGAUUUCCUUUCCAUUAAGGAGAUAGAGGGGUUUUUAUUUUUGUUUUUCUAGAUUUAUUAAUUUAUUUAGUAAUUCAUUAAAUUGUAAAAAAUCAAUGGCGCCCAGUUAAUUCUUGGCUUAUAGUCUCACAGUCACAGAUCUCGAAAAAAAUUAAAUCCCUAAUCCAUGAAGCCAUAGCCAUCCCGGAGAAAAAAAAUCUACUCACCAAUCACCACGAGGAAGAAGAACUGGGCUAUCACGGUGGUGCCAGUUUGCUGGACUGUCCAGUGCCAGCUGCGGCCGUCGAGGGAGGGAGAGGGACUGCCCAGUGCUGUCCGGGCGGAGCCGCGGAGGCGAGGGAGGCCGACGGUAGGGCGAGGCCGCGAGGGAGGCCGCUGUCUGAGUGAGGGAGGUUGGAGUCCGGAGGCCAGGGACUGGUCGGCAUGGCCGCGUGGGUGACUGGGCGGGAUGGCGCCAUGGCGGCUCCUCCUCGGCUCUCGCGGCCUCGCCUUCCGUGUUCCGUCAGGCGUCGCUAGGUCGCGCACUCGCGUGUGUUCCGCAGAGACUCGCCUGACGCCUCGACUCACGGAAUCAACGGAGAAUGAGAAGGGAGAAAGACUGAAACAGCAGUAUUGGGCUAAGUUUCUGUGGGCUGAGACCAGUACUAAAAAAUUUUUAGACCAACAUCUAGGAUAGACUAUCUAUUGGGCCCGCCACUGAUUGUAUCACGCCCUUUUGAUUGGAUCUCGCUGGAGACACCGUAGUCCCUUGUUCAACUUCCCGACAAGGAUCAGGAGAAGGAGCUCGUGCAGCUUAAGUGUAAGGCCCAUUUGAAGGGUUAUUUUUAUGUCGGUCCUGAGGCAAAGUUGCAGAUCUUUAACGGCAUGUUCCUUAAGCUAGCUCAACAAGGCUACUACUAACAUGCUUCGCAGGGUCGAGCCAAUGUUGCAUAUGGGUACAAAAUAGUGAUAGUUGAAGGGAACUAUCUAUUACCAUGCUUUUGUACCUUGUUAUGAUUAAAUCCCUGAAGUUAUUAGGGGUUGUGUGUGUUCGGGUCUAUGUACGACUCCUUCUUCUCCUUUCAAUAAAAUGAUACGCAGCUCUCCUGCGUGUUCGAGAAAAAAAAAUGCUUUGCCGUAUCUAAAUAGCAUUUCCAAAUUCAUUUUUUGUAGUCUCAAGUGGACAAGCCUUGCACAAUUGCACUAGUCCAUUUCUAAAUUAAUUAAUUAACAAUUAUGUGUACAGCACAUUUUUUUCCUUUGACUUGUUUUGUUAGUUGGUUUUUCCAAGGUUCACAGAAUCAAAAUCACAUGUAACUUAUGGUAGUGUCAUCUAAGUGCAUCAGCUGAUUCUUUCAAUUUGUUCUGUAUUAUUUCACAUUGGAGGACCUUACCUGGCUAUAUACCUCUGGGGUUUUAUGUUUGUAUUAGCUCUCCUGAUGAUGACAAUAUACUCCAUUGUGAUAGCUGCUCUGUUCAACAAGUUCACUCCUCUAUGGGAAAUCGGAGGGCGAGGCUUGAGUCGUGAUGGACCAAGGCGAGGCGCCGUGAUCAUGCGAGGAAGAAGGGCAGUGGCUGCGCUGGGUGAGCAGGAGGAAGUCUCCCGACUCCCUAAAGGAAGUCGAACAAAUAUGAUUGCUCUUGCUUGAUUAUAUCGAUAGAGUUUAUAGAUAUUUAUGUUCCUUCUACUCUACCUAUUUUGCUAAAUAAUCUAUCUGGGACUAAUAUAAAUUGCAGAUACAAAGAUAACUAGUCUUAAUAAUACUAUGGGCCUUAGGCCCCAAAUCCGUGCGGCUAAUUUGCCAGCCGGUCAUAACAUCUCUCCCCGCCUGCUGAAAUAGCUCGUCCUCGAGCUGGAACCUGGGGUAGAAGGCGCAAAAAUCAUCCAGGGACUCCCAUGUUGCCUCUUCAUCCGAAAAGCCCCUGCCAGUGGAUGAGAACCUUCCAUUCACCGCGUUGUUGUUGAGUGCACAAGGCACGGUCUGGCCCGGGAAGAAGACACCCAUCUAGUACCGGAGAGAGGUCGCCAGGAGCUGCAGGACGGUCAUCGCGAUGAGGCUUCAAAAAACCCACAUGGAACACAUCGUGAAGACAAGACCCCUCUAGAAGCUCCAACUUGUACGCCACUUGCCCGAUACGCUCGAGGACGUGGAAUGGUCCAGCAUAUCAUGGCCCAAGCUUGCCCUUGGCGCGAGGGUCCAGUGACUGGGUGGUGCGGUGAAGGAGGCAGAGCCACACCCAAUCGCUGGCAGCAAACUCCAGAU